UUUCGUGGGCUUAAGCGCAGAGAGUACGUCCGCCGAAGAGGUGGAUUCCUUCGGGCGAUAUGCGAGGUGUCUGCAUGGUUGUCGUCAGCUCGUGCCAUGAGGUGUCGGGUUAAGUCCCAUAACGAGCGCAACCUUUAUCGUUAGUUGCCAGCGGUUAAUGCCGGGGACUCUAUCGAAACUGCCGGUAUAAACCGUGAGGAAGGUGGGGAUGACGUCAAAUCAGCACGGCCCUUAUGUCCAGGGCUACACACGUGUUACAAUGGUCGGUACAGAGGGCAGGUACCACGCAAGUGGAUAAUAAUCUGGAAAACUGGUCUCAGUUUGGAUUGAUGUAUGCAACUAGAUUUCAUGAAGCUGGAUUCGCUAGUAAUCGCGCAUCAGCCAUGGCGCGGUGAAUACGUUCCCGGCCCUUGUACACACCGCCCGUCAAUCCAUGGAAGCUUGGGGUACCUGAAGUCAGUAACCGCAAGGAGCGGCCUAGGGUAAGACAAGUGACUGGGGUUAAGUCGUAACAAGGUAACCAAGGGCGAA
rnacentral:rRNA from 1 species